rnacentral:rRNA from 1 species
AGUCAUAUGCUUGUCUCAAAGAUUAAGCCAUGCAUGUCUAAGUACAGACCGAUAUACAAGGUGAAACCGCGAAUGGCUCAUUAAAUCAGUUAUGGUUCAUUGGAUCUUACACGAGUUACUUGGAUAACCGUGGUAAUUCUAGAGCUAAUACAUGCAACUAAGCUCCGACCGCAAGGGAAGAGCGCAGUUAUUAGAUCAAAACCAAUCAGGUUCCUAGUCACCUGAUGAAGUUGUGAUGACUCUGAAUAACAUUGAGCUGAGCGCAUGGUCUCUGGACCGGCGCCGCAUCUUUCAAGUGUCUGCCUUAUCAGCUUGAUUGUAGGUUAUGUGCCUACAAUGGCUAUAACGGGUAACGGGGAAUCAGGGUUCGAUUCCGGAGAGGGAGCCUGAGAAACGGCUACCACAUCUAAGGAAGGCAGCAGGCACGCAAAUUACCCACUCCCAGUUCGGGGAGGUAGUGACGAAAUAUAACGAUGCGUGUCUCUAAUUGAGGCUUCGCAAUCGGAAUGAGUACACUCUAAAUCCUUGUACGAGGAUCAAUUGGAGGGCAAGUCUGGUGCCAGCAGCCGCGGUAAUUCCAGCUCCAAUAGCAUAUAUUAAAGUUGUUGUGGUUAAAAAGCUCGUAGUUGGAUGUCUAAUAUUGACUGAUGGUGCGCCUCUGGCGAUUACUGUCGGUUGAAAUAACUAGUCAGCUUGCAUGCGAUGCUCUUUAUUGAGUGUCGUGCGUGGCUGGCAUGAUUACUUUGAAAAAAUUAGAGUGCUCAAAGCAGGUUAAUGCCUGAAUAUGAUGCAUGGAAUAAUGGAAUAUGACCUCGGUUCUAUUUCGUUGGUUUACUGAACCUGAGUUAAUGAUUAAAAGAGACGGACGGGGGCAUUCGUAUUGCGACGCUAGAGGUGAAAUUCUAUGACCGUCGCACGAC